rnacentral:ncRNA from 1 species
UUACGAUAAUGGCAAACUUGUCGAAAGGCAAGGACGCAAAGCAAUGGGCCUAAAGUAUUUCAUGCUAUGGCAGCCAUGCCGCCGAU